rnacentral:rRNA from 1 species
AGUGAACGCUGGCGGUAGGCCUAACACAUGCAAGUCGAACGGCAGCACAGUAAGAGCUUGCUCUUACGGGUGGCGAGGGGCGGACGGGUGAGGAAUACAUCGGAAUCUACUGGUUCGUGGGGGAUAACGUAGGGAAACGGACGCUAAUACCGCAUACGACCUACGGGUGAAAGAAGGGGAGGUGCGGACCUGGAGCGAGGGAAUGAGGGGAGGUCGGAGGAGCUAGUUGGCGUCCUAAAGGCCCACCAAGGCGACGAUCCGUAGCUGGUCUGAGAGGAUGAUACCCCACACUGGAACUGAGACACGGUCCAGACUCCUACGGGAGGCAGCAGUGGGGCGUAUUGGACACUGGGCCCAAGCCUGAUCCCUCCAUACCUCGUCGGUCACGACGCCCUUCGGGUUGUAAAGCCCUUUUGUUGGGAAAGAAAAGCAUCAGGUUAAUACCCCGCUGUUCUGACGGUACCCAAAGAAUAAGCACCGGCUAACUUCGUG